rnacentral:rRNA from 1 species
GACGAACGCUGGCGGCGUGCUUAACACAUGCAAGUCGAGCGAUGAAUUUUCUUCGGAAAUGGAUUAGCGGCGAACGGGUGAGGAACACGUGAAGAAUCUGCCCUCCACUUUGGGAUAACACAGGGAAACCUGUGCUAAUACCGAAUAUUGAAACAUAAGUGGCAUCACUGAGUUUUGAAAGAAUUUCGGUGGAGGAUGACUUCGCGGCCUAUCAGCUAGUUGGUGAGGUAAUGGCUCACCAAGGCAACGACGGGUAGCCGGCCUGAGAGGACGACCAGCCACACUGGGACUGAGACACGGCCCAGACUCCUACGGAAGGCAGCAGUGGGGAAUUUUGGACAAUGGGCGCAAGCCUGAUCCAGCAAUGCCGCGCGCAGGAAGAAGGCCUUCGGGUUGUAAACUGCUUUUGUACGGAACGAAACGGUCUGGGUUAGUACCCUGGACUAAUGACGGUACCGUAAGAAUAAGCACCGGCUAACUACGUGC